UUGCCUAUGACUGGGCCGUCUUCUGUGAGCGUUGCGCGGGAGCGGGAGGCCUUGAGACGUCGUCGUCAAGCAGCGUCUGACCAGCUCGCGGAUAUCGCCCGGUGAGCUGCUUCACAGGAGAGGCUCCG
rnacentral:lncRNA from 1 species